CGGUGUUUAACUGGCGUGAUGUGGGACGUCCUACCGGUGGGCUUAGCCUCGCGAGGGGCGGCCCAACUAAUAUCCCGUCGCGGUGCUCUUUACUAAGUGUCGAGUCGGGCCGGUACGUUUACUUUGAACAAAUUAGAGUGCUUAAAGCAGGCUAUCCUCGCCUGAAUACUGCGUGCAUGGAAUAAUGGAAUAGGACCUCGGUUCUAUUUUGUUGGUUUUCGGAACCCCGAGGUAAUGAUUAAUAGGGACAGAUGGGGGCAUUCGUAUUGCGACGUUAGAGGUGAAAUUCUUGGAUCGUCGCAAGACGGACAGAAGCGAAAGCAUUUGCCAAAAAUGUUUUCAUUAAUCAAGAACGAAAGUUAGAGGUUCGAAGGCGAUCAGAUACCGCCCUAGUUCUAACCAUAAACGAUGCCAGCUAGCGAUCCGCCGAAGUUCCUCCGAUGACUCGGCGGGCAGCUUCCGGGAAACCAAAGCUUUUGGGUUCCGGGGGAAGUAUGGUUGCAAAGCUGAAACUUAAAGGAAUUGACGGAAGGGCACCACCAGGAGUGGAGCCUGCGGCUUAAUUUGACUCAACACGGGAAACCUCACCAGGCCCAGACACCGGAAGGAUUGACAGAUUGAUAGCUCUUUCUUGAUUCGGUGGGUGGUGGUGCAUGGCCGUUCUUAGUUGGUGGAGCGAUUUGUCUGGUUAAUUCCGAUAACGAACGAGACUCUAGCCUGCUAAAUAGGCGUACCUUAUGGUAUCGCGAAGGCCCCCGGCUUCGGCCGGUGGGUUUUUACUACCAACGUACAAACAAAUCUUCUUAGAGGGACAGGCGG
rnacentral:rRNA from 1 species